rnacentral:rRNA from 1 species
CACGUAGGGGGCAAGCGUUGUCCGGAUUUAUUGGGCGUAAAGAGCUCGUAGGUGGUUCGGUAAGUCGGGUGUUAAACCCCCAGGCUCAACCUGGGGACGCCACUCGAUACUGCUGUGACUAGAGUCCGGUAGGGGAGCGUGGAAUUCCUGGUGUAGCGGUGAAAUGCGCAGAUAUCAGGAGGAACACCAGCGGCGAAGGCGGCGCUCUGGGCCGGUACUGACGCUGAGGCGCGAAAGCCGGGGGAGCAAACGGG